AUUUCAGAAUCUUGCCUACUUAUGAUCACAACUGAUCAAAAUGAUGGAUUCAUUUCAGAUGACUUUUUUACAUUUCUAGCCCUUACAGACACAGCUGUGGGAACAAAAUCGGUCGUGGCUGUGCUGAGUGGGGCUCUUUUCCAGCCUCUCACCUUCAAUGAUGAUCCUUUAAGAUGCAAGAACGUCACUGGAUAUGAUAUAGUUGCAUGUUCAUGGUGGAGGUUCAUAAAUGACUCG